rnacentral:rRNA from 1 species
AUUGAACGCUGGCGGCAGGCCUAACACAUGCAAGUCGAACGAGUGGCGGACGGGUGAGUAAUGUCUGGGAAACUGCCUGAAGGAGGGGGAUAACUACUGGAAACGGUAGCUAAUACCGCAUACCAUCAGAUGUGGCCAGAUGGGAUUUGCUUGUUGGUGGGGUAACGGCUUACCAAGGCGACGAUCACUCGCUGGUCUGAGAGGAUGACCAGCCACACUGGACCUGAGGCACGGUCAAGACUCCCACGGGAGGCAGCAGUCGAGAAUAUUGGACAAUGGGGUCAAGCCUGAUGCAACCAUGCCGGGUGUAUGAAUAAGGCCUUCGGGUUUUAAAGUACUUUAAGCGGGGAGGCGUUACCCGCAGAAGAGGCCCCGGCUAACUCCGUGACAGCAGCCGCGGUAAUAC